rnacentral:rRNA from 1 species
UACGUAGGGUGCAAGCGUUAAUCGGAAUUACUGGGCGUAAAGCGUGCGCAGGCGGUCGUGCAAGACAGGUGUGAAAUCCCCGGGCUUAACCUGGGAACUGCACUUGUGACUGCUCGACUAGAGUACGGCAGAGGGGGAUGGAAUUCCGCGUGUAGCAGUGAAAUGCGUAGAUAUGCGGAGGAACACCGAUGGCGAAGGCAGUCCCCUGGGCCUGUACUGACGCUCAUGCACGAAAGCGUGGGGAGCAAACAGGAUUAGAUACCCUGGUAGUCCACGCCCUAAACUAUGUCAACUGGUUGUUGGGAGGGUUUCUUCUCAGUAACGUAGCUAACGCGUGAAGUUGACCGCCUGGGGAGUACGGCCGCAAGGUUGAA